CUGACGUCAUCUCACAGCAGGAGCCACUUACUGUCCUGUAUUGUGUCCUGGAGACGCCAAGAGUCUGCAGGUUUCCAUUUCAAACAUACAAACAAACCAAAGGGCAGGCUCCACAGUCAGUUAAACCAGGUGAAGCUGAUCCCAUUAAAGUCCUCACGGAGGACGCUGGGAGAGGAGAUUGGCUCCGCUGGGUGCUGCUGUUCUCCCAUCUGAGACUUGGUGAGUUCCUGAUGACAAAUACAUUGAGGACCUGAAGAACGCCUGCAAGGUUUCUUCCUCUUCUGCCGUAUCAUUCUUCUCUUGAACCUUU